GUGCCUGUAGCGCAAUGGAUAGCGCACGCGUUGUACAUCUAAUCCAAAGGUUGUGGGUUCGAAUCCCAUCUGGAAUG